rnacentral:rRNA from 1 species
GGCGGCAUGCCUAAUACAUGCAAAUCGAACGGAGUUAUUCUUCGGAAUAACUUAGUGGUGAACGGGUGAGUAACACGUAUCCAAUCUACCUUCAGGUUGGGGAUAACUAAUCGAAAGAUUAGCUAAUACCGAAUAAGCUCUUCGUCUCGCAUGAGACGAAGAGGAAAGGUCCUCCAAAGGAUCGCCUUUAGAUGAGGGUGCGGCAUAUCAGAUAGUUGGUAAGGUAACGGCUUACCAAGUCGAUGACGUGUAGUUGUACUGAGAGGUAAAACAACCACAAUGGGACUGAGACACGGCCCAUACUCCUACGGGAGGCAGCAGUAGGGAAUUUUUCACAAUGGGCGAAAGCCUGAUGGAGCAAUGCCGCGUGAACGAUGAAGGUCCUCUGGAUCGUAAAGUUCUUUUAUAUGGGAAGAAUAAUAAGGAAAGGAAAUGUUCUUUAUUUGACUGUACCAUUUUGAAUAAGUAUCGGCUAACUAUGUGCCAGCAGCCGCGGUAAUACAUAGGAUGCAAGCGUUAUCCGGAUUUACUGGGCGUAAAGCAAGCGCAGGCGGGCUUACAAGUUUGGUAUGAAAGACAUUUGCUUAACGAGUGUUUGUAUCAAAAACUGUAAGUCUAGAGUAUGCUAGGGAGUUCUGGAAUUCCAUGUGGAGCGGUGGAAUGCGUAGAUAUAUGGAAGAACACCAGUGGCGAAGGCGAGAACUUGGAGCAUUACUGACGCUUAGGCUUGAAAGUGUGGGGGAGCAAAUAGGAUUAGAUACCCUAGUAGUCCACACCGUAAACGAUGAUCAUUAAAUAUCCGCCUAAAAGGGUGGGUGUUACAGCUAACGCAUUAAAUGAUCCGCCUGGGUAGUACAUUCGCAAGAAUGAAACUCAAACGGAAUUGACGGGGACCCGCACAAGUGGUGGAGCAUGUUGCUUAAUUUGACGAUACACGUAGAACCUUACCUAGGUUUGACAUCCCCUGCAAAGGUAUAGAAAUAUAUUCGGAGGUUAUCAGGGUGACAGGUGGUGCAUGGUUGUCGUCAGCUCGUGUCGUGAGAUGUUGGGUUAAGUCCCGCAACGAGCGCAACCCCUAUCUUUAGUUAUUUUAUCUAGAGAAACUGCUACCGCAAGGUAGAGGAAGGUGGGGAUGACGUCAAAUCAUCAUGCCCCUUAUAUCUAGGGCUGCAAACGUGCUACAAUGGUUGAUACAAAGUGUCGCAAUAUCGUAAGGUGGAGCAAAUCACAAAAAGUCAAUCUCAGUUCGGAUAGAGGGCUGCAAUUCGCCCUCUUGAAGUCGGAAUCACUAGUAAUCGCGAAUCAGACAUGUCGCGGUGAAUACGUUCUCGGGUCUUGUACACACCGCCCGUCAAACUAUGGGAGCUGGUAAUAUCUAAAACCGUUAGGAUAACCGCAAGGAGUCCGACGUCUAGGA